GUAGCCACCCCCGCCGAUUCACAAAUCACAAACUCAAAGACCAUCUCGCUCAACUCAUGCAGUAGCCGCUCACCUCCCAGUCCUCUCAGCUCAAUCCUUCCAAUUCCCUUACUGUCAUAGCCCCUCAAGUUCGCCGCUUGUCCUCGUAUCUGAAGUUCACCGCUCAUCCUCGUAUUUGAAGCUCGCUGUGACUCUUCCUUAGGAUCUGAAGUUUACUAUCGCUCGUCCCUUGAAUCUCAAGCUCCCCGCUGCUCUUCAGCUCAGGGGAACUACAGAAAAAGGUACUAUUGGAUGAGAAAUACCAUUGCCUGCAUGUUGAAGAGGGAUAUAAUUCAAAGGUUUGGUAUCGUGAUGUUGAAGAGUGAUUUAGCUUUGGAAUUUUUCUGGGAGAAUGGAUUCAAUGAAUUCAAUGAAUAACCUGUUGGAUGUGGUGAAUGCAAUAUCUCUUUGCUCAUCCAAGGAAGAUUGUUUGAUUUGAAGUUGUCAACUAAUGGACAUUUUUUAGUUCACUCACUCUAUUCAAACCUGCUAGAUGCUCGUUAUCAUGGCUAUGGGGAUUUUCCUUUCGUGUGGCUCAGUUUAGCAUUGCCAAAAACUGAGAUGUUGGUCUGGUUUGCUUGUCAUGGGAGGUAAGUACCAAGGAAUGGCUUAGUUAUCUUCACAUUAUUCCUCUUAAUGAGUCCAAUUGUCCCUUUUGCAAUUGCACAGUUGAAUAAGUUAACCAUCUUUUUAUGGAGUGUUGUUUCUCUUAACUUGUUUGGGCAUGGUUCUUUAAACGGUGUGGUUUAUCUUUUUGCAUGCCGAAUUCGGUUGGUAAUCUUUUUGUUGAAUGGAAGGCUUUGGUUCAUGGUGCCUUUCAAAUAAGGUUUUGGACUACCCUUUUCUAUGCCAUUAUAUGGUCAAUCUGGAUUGCUUGCAGCGAUAAAAUUUUCAAUGGUUCUAUUAUCUCAACUGCCUCUUUGUGCUUAACCAUUUUAUACAGAGUAUCUGUGUGGCUCAAAGCUCUUGAUUCUGAUUUUCCUUACUCUGGUUCUGAUUUCUUAUUGUCUGCUGAUUCCAUUAAAUGUUGGACAAACGCUAUCAAGCAUCGGCCUUAUGUUUCAUGGUCCCCUUCUCCCCUCCGUUUCCUCAAAUGGAACAUCGAUGGGUCUUCUCUUGGAAAACCUGGUCGUAGUGCCAUUAGUGGAAUCCUUCAAAAUUCUAAUGGUGAUUUUAUUGGUCUUUUUUCAUGUCCAACUAUUAUUUUAGACUCAAAUUUGCAGAGCUUAAGGCGAUUCACAAGGCUCUUGAAUUGUUGAUCUCUCACCCAUAAGUGAUCUUGGGAGCUGAACACAUCCUUUUAGAAUCAGAUUCCAAGAAUGUUUUAGCGUGUAUCUCUACUACUAACAAAGCUCCAUCGCGGGUCAAUGGAAGUCUCAACUUCAUGCAGAAUUGUAUCAGCUCUUUGCCUUCCAUUUCCUUUGUCCACACAUUGCGUGAGGCUAAUAGUGUUGUUGUUGAUUCAUUGGCAAAAUGGGGACUCUUUAGAGCAAAUGACUUUGUUGCUUGGUUAUGAGCAUAG
rnacentral:misc_RNA from 1 species